GAUGAACGCUAGCUACAGGCUUAACACAUGCAAGUCGAGGGAACGGAGCACGGGUGAAUAACACGAAUCCAACCUGCCCAUUACUCGGCGAUAGCCUAUCGAAAGAUAGAGUAAUACCCGAUAUAAAGGAAGGGGAUGCGUUACAUUAGGUUGGUGGUGAGGUAACGGCUACGCAAGCCUUCGAUGGCUAGGGGUGCUGAGAGGAAGGUCCACCACAUUGGAACUGAGACACGGUCCAAACUCCUACGGGAGGCAGCAGUGAGGAAUAUUGGUCAAUGGGCGCUAGCCGGAACCAGCCAAGUAGCGUGAAGGAUGAAGGCUUAUGGGUCGUAAACUUCUUUUAUAUAAGAAUAUGUAUUAUAUGAAUAAGGAUCGGCUAACUCCGUGCCAGCAGCCGCGGUAAUUC
rnacentral:rRNA from 1 species